rnacentral:lncRNA from 1 species
UUUAUUUAUUUAUUUGUGUUGACUGGGUCACUUGUGGUAAGUGAGUCAUCAAAGCAGAAAGUGUCAACUCAUCAGGGGAUAUGUAGUCCCAAUCCUACGUUCAAGAAAGAGGUAGGGAAGUGAUUUGAAACAAGAAGCCAAAACAUCCCAAAUCAAGUUAGCUCUCCUGAUUCCUGUUAUCAAAACGAUUGUUGUGAAAGGCUAAUCAAGAAAAUUAUUGUAAAAUAUACUUGACAAUAGUAAUUUUUAAAGGUCAGAAAUGUAAGUGGGCAUGAGGGGGAUGACAGGAAUCAGAAAAAUUUUUUCUGAUUUUAUCUAAUCAUGGUAUAAAAUGACAAGAACAACCAUUUUAACGACUGUGUUGGUGAUAAAUGCCACUAUCAGGUAAAUCUUUAGCUUAAGAGAGUAAAAUAUUCAAAUAAAAAAAGCUUCAAAAGGAAACACACAAACAGACAUGCAUACACACAUAUGGUAAAUGUUAUUCAUUAUUAUUUUAUUUGUUUGAGGAUUUCAUAAAUGAAAUACAAUGUAUUUUCAAUAUCUCUACCCCAAUUUCUCCCAAAACACCUCUCUUAAACUCAUGUUCCUGUCUUUUAGGCUUUCCUCCCUAAGAUACACUUUUACCUGCCAUUGACUUUGUACCUUCCAUGCUUCAAAUAACUCCUUCCACUAAUCUUGCUACCUAACAUUUUACCCCAUAAGACUUACCAAGUGAUAGAAAAUCAUAAAACAAAACAAGCUGAUGCUCUUCCCUGGAAAACUCUGACUUUGUAAAAUUAUCAAAGUGAUUUAGGCAGGUUUAAUGUUCAAUUUGUUAUUGGCUGAUGUGCCGGUUUACAUAUUUAACUUUAUUUGAACAAAUAAAAAGCCUAUGGACUUUUCUUUUUCUUACAGACAAUGUAAACAUGUCGAAAUGAUAUUAUAUAUUUAUUGAAUAUAUAUUCCCUAAACUACUGAGUUUAGGGUUGUUCUCUGUUGGAUGAAGUUUGUAAGAGACUAAUUCCACACAAUGUCUUUGAAGUUUAGAUGAAGUCUACCUGACUAAUCUUUAGCAUACUCAACAGACCAUAGUAAAUGUUAGGAAAUUUUGUUCUUGAAAACAGUGUUGUUAAGGUUACUUGUGUACUGAAAGCUCUGAGUUAUUUUAUUUCUGAGCUCUGGGCUCUUUUGUAUUACUGAGUUCUCAGAGUCUCCCUUUGUGAAUAGGUCUUUCUAUUUUGGGUAACUUUAAAUGAAUUUGCACGAGGUGGGCAAAUAAUAAUUUUAUCUCAAGAUACAGACAAUCACAAAUUUAAGAAAAUCCUGUUUCAUCAUUAUGAAAUGGUUUUAAAAUUUUUUUCUUCUUUUCUUUCACACAUACAAAAAAGCUCAGCAGUUAGGGAAUAUAUAUUGAAGAAGUAUGUACAUAUCAUCUGUGCAUAUUUACAUUGCCUGU